rnacentral:rRNA from 1 species
AGUGAACGCUGGCGGUAGGCCUAACACAUGCAAGUCGAACGGCAGCACAGUAAGAGCUUGCUCUUACGGGUGGCGAGUGGCGGACGGGUGAGGAAUACAUCGGAAUCUACUUUUUCGUGGGGGAUAGCGUAGGGAAACUUACGCUAAUACCGCAUACGACCUACGGGUGAAAGCAGGGGAUCUUCGGACCUUGCGCGAUUGAAUGAGCCGAUGUCGGAUUAGCUAGUUGGCGGGGUAAAGGCCCACCAAGGCGACGAUCCGUAGCUGGUCUGAGAGGAUGAUCAGCCACACUGGAACUGAGACACGGUCCAGACUCCUACGGAAGGCAGCAGUGGGGAAUAUUGGACAAUGGGCGCAAGCCUGAUCCAGCCAUACCGCGUGGGUGAAGAAGGCCUUCGGGUUGUAAAGCCCUUUUGUUGGGAAAGAAAAGCAGCAGGUUAAUACCCCGCUGUUCUGACGGUACCCAAAGAAUAAGCACCGGCUAACUUCGUG